AGAGAGCGAGGUACAGAGAAACCGAGGGGGAGAGAACCCGAGUGUGUGUAUGCGUGUGCGUGUGUGAGCGCGAGCGAGCUUGCGAGGGAGAGGAGCGAGAGAGUGCGAGCGAGAAAGAAUAAAAGGAAAGAAGAUUUUCUCUAUGUAUAUAAAGAUGGCCACGUUAGCAAACGGACAGGCUGACAACGCGAGCCUCAGUACCAACGGGCUCGGCAGCAGUCCGGGCAGCGCCGGGCACAUGAACGGAUUAAGCCACAGCCCGGGGAACCCGUCGACCAUUCCCAUGAAGGACCACGAUGCCAUCAAGCUGUUCAUUGGGCAGAUCCCCCGCAACCUGGAUGAGAAGGACCUCAAGCCCCUCUUCGAGGAGUUCGGCAAAAUCUACGAGCUUACGGUUCUGAAGGACAGGUUCACAGGCAUGCACAAAGGCUGCGCUUUCCUCACCUACUGCGAGCGUGAGUCAGCGCUGAAGGCCCAGAGCGCGCUGCACGAGCAGAAGACCCUGCCCGGGAUGAACCGGCCGAUCCAGGUGAAGCCUGCGGACAGCGAGAGCCGAGGAGGUAGUAGCUGCCUGCGCCAGCCCCCUUCACAAGAUAGAAAACUCUUCGUGGGCAUGCUCAACAAGCAGCAGUCUGAGGACGAUGUGCGCCGCCUCUUUGAGGCCUUCGGGAACAUUGAAGAGUGCACCAUCCUACGCGGGCCCGACGGCAACAGCAAGGGGUGCGCCUUUGUGAAGUACUCCUCCCACGCUGAGGCGCAAGCUGCCAUCAACGCGCUGCAUGGCAGCCAGACCAUGCCGGGAGCCUCAUCCAGUCUGGUGGUCAAGUUCGCCGACACUGACAAGGAGCGCACGAUGCGGCGAAUGCAGCAGAUGGCUGGCCAGAUGGGCAUGUUCAACCCCAUGGCCAUCCCGUUCGGGGCCUACGGCGCCUACGCACAGGCACUGAUGCAGCAGCAGGCGGCACUAAUGGCAUCAGUCGCGCAGGGUGGCUACCUGAACCCCAUGGCUGCCUUCGCCGCCGCCCAGAUGCAGCAGAUGGCGGCCCUCAACAUGAAUGGCUUGGCAGCCGCACCCAUGACCCCAACCUCAGGUGGCAGCACCCCUCCGGGCAUCACUGCACCAGCUGUGCCUAGCAUCCCGUCCCCCAUUGGGGUGAACGGCUUCACUGGCCUCCCCCCACAGGCCAAUGGGCAACCUGCUGCGGAAGCUGUGUUUGCCAAUGGCAUCCACCCCUAUCCAGCGCAGAGCCCCACCGCCGCGGACCCCCUGCAGCAGGCCUACGCUGGAGUGCAGCAGUAUGCAGGUCCAGCCGCCUACCCUGCUGCCUAUGGUCAGAUAAGCCAGGCCUUUCCUCAACCACCUCCAAUGAUCCCCCAGCAACAGAGAGAAGGGCCCGAGGGCUGUAACCUGUUCAUCUACCAUCUGCCCCAGGAGUUUGGGGACGCUGAGCUGAUGCAGAUGUUCCUCCCUUUCGGCUUCGUGAGCUUCGACAACCCGGCCAGCGCGCAGACCGCCAUCCAGGCCAUGAACGGCUUCCAGAUCGGCAUGAAGAGGCUCAAGGUGCAGCUGAAGCGGCCCAAAGACGCCAAUCGCCCGUACUGAGCGCCGGCGGGAGCGUCCCCCGGGGGAGACUAGGACUCGCACAGGGCCAGUCAAAUCCACCACAGUCUCGCGCUGAGCUAGGAAUAAAGUUCACGUAAUCACAUGAGAGUGGAGAAAACAGUCCCCCAUCCGGCAGGAUGCUGAACGGGCUACAUUAAAAAACAAACCUCUCUCUCUCUCUAUUUAUAAAUGAGAACUGUUGGAUGACACCUUUGACAUAUCAGCCAAUAUCAAUCAAGCUGAGGACUCCAGACACUCUGUGACUGUAACAUUUCUUCAAGGAAAGUAUAGCGUCUAUGGAGUUCAGAGGGCACGUGUUUGGGGGAAAAUACAUAGGACUUAAAGAAGAAGAUGAAGAAAAAUGAGAACACACACACAAAAGGCAACUUUUAAAACAAAAUAACUUGACACCAGAUGGGGAGGCUGAAGGGCUGGGAACUGAAAAGAGACGCUGCUUACCGAUCCCCGGGGCUUUUCCAGCCCGUGGGCGCCUGAGGCAGGCUGGGGCGAGCGGUGUGGCGGGACCUGGUCCCCAGGGGGCGGCUGGGAGCCGCCGCUGAGCAUCUCUAUCUGUCAUUCCUUUAGCUAUUUAGGGACCAAAGGACCAAACUUUUUAUUGCAGAUGUGUAGCUCUAUGUCAAAUAGAGGGGGAAUGGAGGGGAACCUCCUUCCUGCCUCCUGGCUGUUCAUGAAACAGCUUAGAGCGAUUCUAUGAAAAAUGUAAUAAAAAAAUGAAAAAAAAACCACAAAAAACCACAAAAACACAAAAAAAGAAAAUGCUUAAAUGCUUUUAAAACAGCAAGAUAAUAGUUCUUUGAUACUUUGAGAGGCGCUUUGAUUACCCUCAUUCAAGUCUAAGACACUUUCCUAUGGUUUUCUGUAUUAUAUGUCUGGAGGGAGCUGUUAAGAUGAACAAAUUGGUGGAUAUUGGGGGAAAGCAACAAAAAUAUUAAAACUCAUUAACCUUGAAGUGUGAGAAAACAAGGAGGGGAAAAAAAAGGACUUACAAGGCAAGAGAAUUGUUGUGAAAAGUCUGUAAAUGCUUCUAACUCUUCCCCCCCUCUUAAAAACAUAAUAGUUGUACAGAAUUUUAAAAAGGAGAAGUUUAAAAUACCUAUAUAAUAGAAGAAAAAUUAGAGGAAAGCAAAAAAUAAAAAAAAAAUAAAAAAGGAAAAAAAAACUUAUAGAAGUUAGCGUUACUGCUAAAAUCCCAGAUGUUGUAGGACUGUACUUUUGUAGAGUUUAGACUGAGCAUCAAUCCCUUCUCCCCGCGAGUGCUGUCGGAUGACGACACCGUUGACCCCGAGGGCCAGGCUGACUGGCCAGACCUGUGGGCUCCUGG